UUUUAUUAUUAUUACUCCAUCAUUAUCAAAUUUUGCAAUUAAAAAAAACAAAACCUGUUCUUAAAAGCAGUUCAGUUGCGUCAGUGAGGUAACCUCAUUUUAUUAUUGCUGAUACACGACACCGUUUUUACUGUGUCAUUUCAAACAUAACUGCAGUAUUUAGAAACCUGACACAUUGGCUCCAUUCAGGCUAAAUAUAGAGAGUUACACAGAGUCACUGAGCUCAGGGCUGGUUACACAGGCACUGACCUCACUCUGUUGGAUCUCACGACUUAAACAUGGAAUUGUAAUGAAAUUAAUUAUUUCCCCUGAUGAAGCUGGGAUUCCCAUGACUACACUUUGGGUUAUUACAGCAUUCUGGGACAAUGAAUGAAGCUCCUCUGGAUACAUACUUUGACAUUCUUGACGAGGAAAGAAAACUGUAUGCAGCGGACUCCUUAAAUAAUUUGAACAAACUGAAUGUUUGUAGUGAUCCACACGACCUGUUAUCAACCGAACUCCUGGAUAGCUCAUCAUAUGCCGACAAAAGAGAAAUUAAUGACAACAAAGAAUGCCCUAAAGCUGGUAAGUAAAGUGGGCAAAAGAAUUAACAGCAAACAAACUGUUUAUGUUAUCAA